UGUCCUGAGGAUGAAGCAGUCUGUAGAGGAGGAUGUCUUUAUCCCUCUGUAUCCGAAAAGGUCAAACAAAAUCCUUAUUUCCUCUUCUUCUUUUUCUGACCAGCACUGUGGAAGACAAAUCAUCUCCAUGUUCAAAAUUGCAAGGCAGACAGUUUUGGUCAGCUGUUGAGCUGCUCUCCAAGGUUCUCCUUUGGGAUGGGACUGUACAGGAAGACACAGUCCGUGG